AUCUGUAUUUAUGUGUUUGUACAAUGUAUGUGUGUAUGUAUAACACACACACACACACACACACACACACACACACACACACACACACACACA
rnacentral:miRNA from 1 species